AUUUAGUGUUUAUUCAUUACAUUUAUUCACAUCAAAAUCAGUCAUUUAUUCACACUUAAGUUAAAUGGCACAAACAUAAUUCCAUGAACGUUACACCAGUUCAGACAAACCUCCAGACAGUCGACACAACAAGCUCUAUCACAACUAGGCCUUGGUUAGCUUCCCGGGAAGGCUUCAUUACAAAAGUCAAGUAUUAUGAAAGACAUGCUCUAGCCCAGGGCUCUCCAACCCUGUUCCUGGAGAACUACCAUCCUAUAGGUUCACUCCAACCCUGUUCCUGGAGAACUACCAUCCUAUAGGUUCACUCCAACCCUGUUCCUGGAGAACUACCAUCCUAUAGGUUCACUCCAACCCUGUUCCUGGAGAACUACCAUCCUAUAGGUUCACUCCAACCCUGUUCCUGGAGAACUACCAUCCUAUAGGUUCACUCCAACCCUGUUCCUGGAGAACUACCAUCCUAUAGGUUCACUCCAACUCUGUUCCUGGAGAACUACCAUCCUAUAGGUUCACUCCAACCCUGUUCCUGGAGAACUACCAUCCUAUAGGUUCACUCCAACCCUGUUCCUGGAGAACUACCAUCCUAUAGGUUCACUCCAACCCUGUUCCUGGAGAACUACCAUCCUAUAGGUUCACUCCAACCCUGUUCCUGGAGAACUACCAUCCUAUAGGUUCACUCCAACCCUGUUCCUGGAGAACUACCAUCCUAUAGGUUCACUCCAACCCUGUUCCUGGAGAACUACCAUCCUAUAGGUUCACUCCAACCCUGUUCCUGGAGAACUACCAUCCUAUAGGUUCACUCCAACCCUGUUCCUGGAGAACUACCAUCCAUCCUACCCUGUUCCUGGAGAGCUACUGUGCUGUAGGUCCUCUCUCCAACCCUGUUCCUGGAGAGCUACUGUGCUGUAGGUCCUCUCUCCAACCCUGUUCCUGGAGAGCUACUGUGCUGUAGGUCCUCUCUCCAACCCUGUUCCUGGAGAGCUACUGUGCUGUAGGUCCUCUCUCCAACCCUGUUCCUGGAGAGCUACUGUGCUGUAGGUCCUCUCUCCAACCCUGUUCCUGGAGAGCUACUGUGCUGUAGGUCCUCUCUCCAACCCUGUUCCUGGAGAGCUACUGUGCUGUAGGUCCUCUCUCCAACCCUGUUCCUGGAGAGCUACUGUGCUGUAGGUCCUCUCUCCAACCCUGUUCCUGGAGAGCUACUGUGCUGUAGGUCCUCUCUCCAACCCUGUUCCUGGAGAGCUACUGUGCUGUAGGUCCUCUCUCCAACACUAUUCCUGGAGAGCUACUGUGCUGUAGGUCCUCUCUCCAACCCUGUUCCUGGAGAGCUACUGUGCUGUAGGUCCUCUCUCCAACACUAUUCCUGGAGAGCUACUGUGCUGUAGGUCCUCUCUCCAACACUAUUCCUGGAGAGCUACUGUGCUGUAGGUCCUCUCUCCAACCCUGUUCCUGGAGAGCUACUGUGCUGUAGGUCCUCUCUCCAACACUAUUCCUGGAGAGCUACUGUGCUGUAGGUCCUCUCUCCAACACUAUUCCUGGAGAGCUACUGUGCUGUAGGUCCUCUCUCCAACACUAUUCCUGGAGAGCUACUGUGCUGUAGGUCCUCUCUCCAACACUAUUCCUGGAGAGCUACUGUGCUGUAGGUCCUCUCUCCAACACUAUUCCUGGAGAGCUACUGUGCUGUAGGUCCUCUCUCCAACACUAUUCCUGGAGAGCUACUGUGCUGUAGGUCCUCUCUCCAACACUAUUCCUGGAGAGAUACUGUGCUGUAGGUCCUCUCUCCAACACUAUUCCUGGAGAGCUACUGUGCUGUAGGUCCUCUCUCCAACACUAUUCCUGGAGAGCUACUGUGCUGUAGGUCCUCUCUCCAACACUAUUCCUGGAGAGCUACUGUGCUGUAGGUCCUCUCUCCAACACUAUUCCUGGAGAGCUACUGUGCUGUAGGUCCUCUCUCCAACACUAUUCCUGGAGAGCUACUGUGCUGUAGGUCCUCUCUCCAACACUAUUCCUGGAGAGAUACUGUGCUGUAGGUCCUCUCUCCAACACUAAUCUAGCACACCUGAUUCUAAUAAUUAGCUGGUUGAUAAGCUGAAUCAGGUUAGUUACAACUGUGGUUGGAGCGAAACCCUACAGGAUACUAGUUCUCCAGGAACAGGGUAGCCUAAUUGCAAGACCUAUGCUAAAUAGUCAGACAACAAAUGAUGUGAUUCUCAGUGUCUUCUCCCCAGCCACCAUCUUCCCCCAAAGGCCAUAUUUCUCAGUAUGGUUAAACAUGAUUGUAACCUCUUCAUAUGGUGAUAAAGUUUUCAUGAGUUGUUUAGCAUGUACAUAACACAUUAACAAGGAGGCACCAUGAGGUGUGGGACUAUCUGCUGAUGAGUCCUGCACAACAAAACGAUGACACGUCAGAGAGCCCUGCACACAUUCAGACCACCGGUGUGUGUGUGUGUGUGUGUGUGUGUGUGUGUGUGUGUGUGUGUGUGUGUGUGUGUGUGUGUGUGUGUGUGUGUGUGUGUGUGUGUGUGUGUGUGUGUGUGUACACAUGCGUCUGACUCGGAGGCUAGACUCUCUGUCUUGAUCAUCAAAGCGGAAGAGAGAGAGAGGGGAGCAGAUGAACCACUGAAUGAAUAAAGAAAAGCGAGCAGACAAAUGGAGAGACACAGAGAGAGAGAGACUAACACCAGACACCUUGACACGCCAACCCAGACUCAGGUCUGUUACCAUGGUGACACCGUCUUGGGUCUGCACGCCACGGCUGGUUUGGCUCGCAGCGUGCAGAGUGGUGGAGCCUUGGCGACAAGGGGUCCCCAGGGAGUGUGCCAACCACGUGCCCAUGGGGAA